GGAUCACCUCCUUAGGCGAACGGGUGAGUAACACGUGGGUAACCUGCCCAUCAUAAGGGGAUAACACUUGGAAACAGGUGCUAAUACCGUAUAACAAUCGAAACCGCAUGGUUUCGUUUUGAAAGGCGCUUUACGGUGCCGCUGAUGGAUGGACCCGCGGUGCAUUAGCUAGUUGGUGAGGUAACGGCUCACCAAGGCCACGAUGCAUAGCCGACCUGAGAGGGUGAUCGGCCACAUUGGGACUGAGACUGGGCCCAAACUCCUACGGGAGGCAGCAGUAGGGAAUCUUCGGCAAUGGACGAAAGUCUGACCGAGCAACGCCGCGUGAGUGAAGAAGGUUUUCGGAUCGUAAAACUCUGUUGUUAGAGAAGAACAAGGGUGAGAGUAACUGUUCACCCCUUGACGGUAUCUAACCAGAAAGCCACGGCUAACUACGUGCCAGCAGCCGCGGUAAUACGUAGGUGGCAAGCGUUGUCCGGAUUUAUUGGGCGUAAAGCGAGCGCAGGCGGUUUCUUAAGUCUGAUGUGAAAGCCCCCGGCUCAACCGGGGAGGGUCAUUGGAAACUGGGAGACUUGAGUGCAGAAGAGGAGAGUGGAAUUCCAUGUGUAGCGGUGAAAUGCGUAGAUAUAUGGAGGAACACCAGUGGCGAAGGCGGCUCUCUGGUCUGUAACUGACGCUGAGGCUCGAAAGCGUGGGGAGCAAACAGGAUUAGAUACCCUGGUAGUCCACGCCGUAAACGAUGAGUGCUAAGUGUUGGAGGGUUUCCGCCCUUCAGUGCUGCAGCUAACGCAUUAAGCACUCCGCCUGGGGAGUACGACCGCAAGGUUGAAACUCAAAGGAAUUGACGGGGGCCCGCACAAGCGGUGGAGCAUGUGGUUUAAUUCGAAGCAACGCGAAGAACCUUACCAGGUCUUGACAUCCUUUGACCACUCUAGAGAUAGAGCUUCCCCUUCGGGGGCAAAGUGA
rnacentral:rRNA from 1 species